rnacentral:lncRNA from 1 species
GAACACCUUUUCAUUUAUAACUGUUUAGGGGAAAGUGACUAUGUUGUCACACAUAUUUUGAAGUACAACUCAAACAAUUUUUGACAAUAAUCAAUCAUAUCUUAUUUGGGGUUCUUAUUUCUAUCCCAAUUAGUAUGCAUGUCAGAAAGUCUGGAUUGAUACAGCAACCAUGCCCAAAUUCUUACUAUGCUCUAUGUGAUUAUUAAAAAAAAUUCUAAAUGUAGCCUUAGUUCGCCAACAUUGAGUACCACUUUAAAACACAUUAAAGAAAAUGGCAUUAAAUGUAUUCAUGUAUUUCUAAUUUUCAUAUAGACAGUAAAGUUGAACAUAAAGAACAGAUAAAAAUUUUCUUGUACAGUAGAAAGAAAUUAAGGAGGUAGGAAGACACAGUUUUGAAAUAUAAAAAUUUCGUAGGACCACUCUAGACUCAAGAUUUGAUUCCUCUAGGUCAGGAACUGGCACAUUGGAGUCUGUUUCUAUUGCCCAUGGGCACUUCCAUAUAACAGAGGCCAGUGGGUGUCACAGACACUGCA